AGUGAACGCUGGCGGUAGGCCUAACACAUGCAAGUCGAACGGCAGCACAGUAAGAGCUUGCUCUUACGGGUGGCGAGUGGCGGACGGGUGAGGAAUACAUCGGAAUCUACUUUUUCGUGGGGGAUAACGUAGGGAAACUUACGCUAAUACCGCAUACGACCUACGGGUGAAAGCAGGGGAUCUUCGGACCUUGCGCGAUUGAAUGAGCCGAUGUCGGAUUAGCUAGUUGGCGGGGUAAAGGCCCACCAAGGCGACGAUCCGUAGCUGGUCUGAGAGGAUGAUCAGCCACACUGGAACUGAGACACGGUCCAGACUCCUACGGGAGGCAGCAGUGGGGAAUAUUGGGCAAUGGGCGAAAGCCUGAUCCAGCCAUACCGCGUGGGUGAAGAAGGCCUUCGGGUUGUAAAGCCCUUUUGUUGGGAAAGAAAAGCAGCAGGUUAAUACCCCGCUGUUCUGACGGUACCCAAAGAAUAAGCACCGGCUAACUUCGUG
rnacentral:rRNA from 1 species